AGAGUUUGAUCCUGGCUCAGGAUGAACGCUAGCGACAGGCCUAACACAUGCAAGUCGAGGGGUAACAGGGGCUUCGGCCCGCUGACGACCGGCGCACGGGUGAGUAACGCGUAUGCAACCUGCCUGUAACAGCGGGAUAGCUCCCUGAAAGGGGAAUUAACACCGCAUAAGACCACGCUCUCGCAUGGGGACGGGGUAAAAUAUUUAUAGGUUACAGAUGGGCAUGCGUGACAUUAGUUAGUUGGUGAGGUAACGGCUCACCAAGACUGCGAUGUCUAGGGGUUCUGAGAGGAAGGUCCCCCACACUGGAACUGAGACACGGUCCAGACUCCUACGGGAGGCAGCAGUGAGGAAUAUUGGUCAAUGGACGCAAGUCUGAACCAGCCAUGUCGCGUGCAGGAUGACUGCCCUAUGGGUUGUAAACUGCUUUUAUAUUGGAAGAAUUGCGCUUACGAGUUAAGCGUUUGACGGUACAUUAUGAAUAAGGAUCGGCUAACUCCGUGCCAGCAGCCGCGGUAAUACGGAGGAUCCGAGCGUUAUCCGGAUUUAUUGGGUUUAAAGGGUGCGUAGGCGGAAAUGUAAGUCAGUGGUGAAAUCCUGCAGCUUAACUGUAGAAUAGCCGUUGAAACUGUGUUUCUUGAGUACAUUUGAGGUAGGCGGAAUGUGGUGUGUAGCGGUGAAAUGCAUAGAUAUACCACAGAACACCGAUUGCGAAGGCAGCUUACUAAACUGUCACUGACGCUGAUGCACGAAAGCGUGGGUAUCAAACAGGAUUAGAUACCCUGGUAGUCCACGCUGUAAACGAUGAUUACUGGCUGUUUGCGAUACACUGCAAGUGACUGAGCGAAAGCAUUAAGUAAUCCACCUGGGGAGUACGUCGGCAACGAUGAAACUAAAAGGGAUUUGACGGGGGGCCCGCACAGGCGGAGGAAACUGGUGGUUUUAUUCCAUGAAACGCAAGGAACCUUACCGGGGUUUAAAUGGGGAGGGACAGGCUUGGAAAAAAGGGCCUUUCUUCCGA
rnacentral:rRNA from 1 species